ensembl:lncRNA
UUACAUCUGUGCCCUCUUUAUUCCCUUUCUACUUCUCCUGCCUCAUCUCAUAUUUGAUCAUGUAUCUUUCUUGCUAGAAUCCCCCUGCUGUGUCUUCCUGCCUCUUUUCUGGCACCGCUCUCCUGGUGUUCGCACUCGCUGUACCCCAGAUUCCCUAUUGCUUCUUUCAGACACCAAGCAGAAGUCCAGAGGGGAGAAUUACUGGGAGAAAGGACUAGCUAUGCAUUUGGGGUUCCUAAGAUUCUAUUCCACUAUACCAGCUCACAUGGCAUUUUCACCAUGCCAGGUAAAAGUUUAACUGGUUUCUUCCUUCCCUAGCAGAU